rnacentral:lncRNA from 1 species
AGCUACGAGGAGAGAGUACUGACCGUUUUAGUGAAGCCCUGUCUAGGAACACGAAUUUCACCAAUCUUCUUCUAAAUUGCUCCAAAUCCCUUAACCAUGGCUCCUUGAUUCUUGAAGCUCAUAUGCAAGAUGAAACUCAAUCUUAGGCUCGAUUCAAAGGCACGAAUUUGAGAAGGAAUGGAGAGAUUGGUUUGAUGUUUACCUUCCUUGAAAGCCAAAGACUCAAGGAUUACAAAUCUACAAUUGCAUGUGAACUUUGAGUUGAUCUUGGUUUGGAUUUGCUAGAUGAUGAUGAUACUAAUGUGAGAGAUGAGAGCAUAAGGAUGAGAUGGGGAGGUCAGAGAGAAAGAGAGAUUGAGAAUAGAGAGAUGAAAGUGUGAGGAUGGUGAGAC